ACGUUCCAUCUCAGUCGAGAGUUGGUAAUAUGUUGCGUACAUACUGCAUGUUGGGUUUGUGUGUUGUUCUGCUGGACGUAUUGCUUACCAAAUGGAUAUGACUGCGAAGGAUUCAUUACCUAACGAAGAUGAGAAGGCACAUAUGCAGCAAAGUCCUAACAACGGUUUUACUGGGAAGGAAACAGCAUAUCAGUUAUGUCUUCACAUGGCUUACCUUUCCUAUUUGAAGAAGCUUGCACACUAGCUGCUGGCUCAAAUAUAUUCCUGAUCCCGACGUUGCAGUGAAACUAUUGAUCUGAAAUGCAAAGAAACUGGGAAUAAACACAGAGCCCUCUUUCCAAAAGCCUUAUCAAAUCUGGCACAGAUGCACCCCUGUGCCUUGCAUAUCGUGAGUGACAGCGCAGCACAUUAGCUGAAACCCAGCAUCUUGAGAAAGUUUAAGGGCUUAGAUGUUGCGUUGUGGCAUGCGUGUAAGUUUGCCUCUGCUGUAAGGCCAGGAGCAUCCAGCCUGGGGAUAAAGCAUAUGCAGUACUGCCUUUCAAAGCUGGGUUUGAUGGAGGUGGUGAGUUGUAAUCGUAUUUAAUUUGAACUUAGACUUUCACCUUCAAAUCUUGUCAUUUGAUUAAUACAGCAUAUUUUAAUUCAGAAAAUGAGCACGCAUGCAGAAAUAAAAAUCCUAUCAUGCACUUAUAUUUGAAGUUUCACUUCAUAGCAUUUUUAUCUUCUGGAGGGAAUGAAAUAAAAACAAUUUAUUCACUAGAGUUUAAAACUAAAUGUGUGAAGUCAGUUUGAAGCAGGGAGACUAGGGGAAAAGUUUCCUGUCAUAGUCAUGCAGCUAAUUGUUGUUGAACACAUUGUAUUUCCAUCUAAGACCGUUCAUUGUAUCUGGAAUUUGAGAUGACUUGGUUAUCUGUCUGAGCAUUGCUUAAAAGCUGUGAAAUUGGAAUAAAAAGUGAAUAUGCA